rnacentral:rRNA from 1 species
UACGUAGGUGGCAAGCGUUGUCCGGAUUUACUGGGCGUAAAGAGCGCGCAGGCGGUCGAAUAAGUCGAAUGUGAAAGCCCCCGGCUCAACUGGGGAGGGUCAUUCGAUACUGUUCGACUUGAAGGCAGGAGAGAGAAGCAGAAUUCCCGGUGUAGUGGUGAAAUGCGUAGAGAUCCGGAGGAACACCAGUGGCGAAGGCGACGUCCUGGGCUUGACCUGACGCUGAGACGCGACAGCACGGGGAGCGAACGGG